AGAGUUUGAUCCUGGCUCAGGACGAACGCUGGCGGCGUGCCUAACACAUGCAAGUCGAGCGGGGUUGAAGCGAGGGGUAACUCAAGCUUCUACCUAGCGGCGGACGGGUGAGUAACGCGUGGGCAACCUGCCUCAAGGUCUGGGAUAACAGCUCGAAAGGGCUGCUAAUACCGGAUAUGCCUAUGGCCUCGCAUGGGGCUAUGAGCAAAGGGGAAACCUGCCUUGAGAUGGGCCCGCGUCCCAUCAGCUAGUUGGUGAGGUGAAAGCUCACCAAGGCGACGACGGGUAGCCGGCCUGAGAGGGUGACCGGCCACACUGGGACUGAGACACGGCCCAGACUCCUACGGGAGGCAGCAGUCGGGAAUCUUCCACAAUGGGCGAAAGCCUGAUGGAGCGACGCCGCGUGAGGGAAGAAGGUCUUCGGAUCGUAAACCUCUGUCCUCAGGGACGAUAAUGACGGUACCUGAGGAGGAAGCCACGGCUAACUACGUGCCAGCAGCCGCGGUAAUACGUAGGUGGCGAGCGUUACUCGGAAUUACUAGGCGUAAAGCGUAUGCAGGCGGUCAGAUAAGUCUCUGGUGAAAACUCACGGCUCAACCGUGAGAGGCCCAGGGAUACUGUUUGGCUUGAGUGUGGGAGGGGGAGACGGAAUUCCUGGUGUAGCGGUGAAAUGCGUAGAUAUCAGGAGGAACACCGAUGGCGAAAGCAGUCUCCUGGCCCAAUACUGACGCUAAUAUACGAAAGCUAGGGUAGCAAACAGGAUUAGAUACCCUGGUAGUCCUAGCUGUAAACGAUGUUCACUAGAUGUGGGAGGUAUCGACCCCUUCCGCGUCGACGCUAACGCAUUAAGUGAACCGCCUGGGGAGUACGGCCGCAAGGUUGAAACUCAAAUGAAUUGACGG
rnacentral:rRNA from 1 species